rnacentral:ncRNA from 2 species
GUUAUCAAGAGUGGUGGAGGGAAUAGGCCCUAUGAAACCCAGCAACCUGCCAAUUGGAAAGGUGCUAAAUCCUACGGGAAACCGAAAGAUAA